AAUGGCGAAUGCACAGGGAUAAGCUCAGUUUGACAAUUUGUGCUUCUUGCUUCAACUUGUAGCUUUGGGUUGUGUGGCCAGUGGAGGCACAGCUUGAAACUUUUGGAACAGAGUGUUGGUAAUGGUGCAAACCCUGUACAUCAGUUGCAGCCCUCAGCGUUUUGUACACCUACUCUGAGUUGUGCCCUUUUGGAUUGGUGCACGAAUUGGUUGGUAAUGUUCAUCUAAAGCAAAACACGUGUCCAAAACUAAUAGCAAACAAGUACGAUGAUGGAAAGGUGAAACAGGACUUUGAACAGAGAGACAAAUAUGCUUGAACUUGCUGUACAGGAAAUGAGGGGAGCCAGGGCAUAUUGGGAAGAUUGNNNNNNNNNACCCGUCUUGAAACACGGAUCAAGGAGUCUAGCGCAUAUGCAAGCUCUAUGGGUUGCACUCAUGCGCACACACACACACCUUAUUGCUUGAUGAGCGUGCCUGUUUAGAUGUGUGCAUUAGCUGCUUGUUUUUUUUUCAAACCUGGAGAAUGUGAUUGCGAGUGUACAUGUUAGGACCCGAAAGAUGGUGAACUAUGCCUGUUGAAAGCUAAUCCAGGGGAAACUCUGAUGGAGGCCUACAGCGGUACUGACGUGCAAAUCGUUCGUUAUACAUGGGCAUGUGGGGUGAAAGACUAAUCGAAUCAUCUAGUAGCUGGUUCCCUCCGAAGUGUCCCUCAGGAUAGCUGGGCUGGGCAGCUGUACCAAGUAAAGCGAAUGAUUAGAGGAAUUGGGGGGCAUGUUGUCAUUGAGCUAUUCUCAAACUCUAAAUAGGUACAUUCCUGCUGUUGCAUGUGUGAGGUCUUGGGUGUAAGUGGCGAGUCAAAGUGGGCCAUUCUUGGUAAGCAGAACUGGUGAUGGGGGAUGAAUCUAAUGUUAGACUAAAACGCCUUGUUGCUCACUCAUCAGAUACCACAAAGGGUGUUGGCUCAUAUUAACAGCAGGACGGUGGUCAUGGAAGUUGAAA
rnacentral:rRNA from 1 species